GAGAGUAUAGCUCAGAGGUAGAGUGCAUGCUUGGCAUGCACAAGGUCCCAGGUUCGAUCCCGAGUACCUCCA
rnacentral:tRNA from 1 species